UACGUAGGGUGCAAGCGUUAAUCGGAAUUACUGGGCGUAAAGCGCACGUAGGCGGCUUUCUAAGUCGGGGGUGAAAUCCUGGAGCUCAACUCCAGAACUGCCUUCGAUACUGGAGAGCUCGAGUCCGGGAGAGGUGAGUGGAACUGCGAGUGUAGAGGUGAAAUUCGUAGAUAUUCGCAAGAACACCAGUGGCGAAGGCGGCUCACUGGCCCGGUACUGACGCUGAGGUGCGAAAGCGUGGGGAGCAAACAGGG
rnacentral:rRNA from 1 species